AUUAAAAGAAAAUGAAGAAAAGAAUAAUAGAAUAGAUAAAAAAUUUAUAGAAAAAGAAAUAACCAGAAUAGGGAAAAAACAUAUUGAAAGGAAAAAUAUAAUAAUAGAAACAGGAAGCAUGGAUGAUGAGUUUAGAAAAAUAUAUUACCUAAAAUAUUAGAAGAAGAGGAAUCUAGAGAAAAAAUGUUAGGUAAACAGAAAAUUGAAGAAAAUCAAGACAAAUAAAAUGAAUGAAGAAUUAGAUCUACUUAUAAAUAAUUUUGAUCAUU
rnacentral:lncRNA from 1 species